rnacentral:lncRNA from 8 species
GUGUCUUUUGCUGAAGGCAUCCAGUCCUGUGUGGCACAAGAGGUUGUCAUGGCAGACACUGGAGCGGAGGCCUUAGCCAGGAUGAUUGUGGCAAAAGGACGAAUCCUCCUGGUGCCAAGCACCAAUUCGUUCCUCUACCAGGGCUUCUCAGACAAGCAGCAUGUCGUUACUCUGUUGCCAACGGAGACGUGCUUCUGACAGUGCCCAGAGGUGUGUCCACCGACUGGCAGCUGUACUGGCCAUUGGAGGAAGUGUGGACAGUCCUAUGCCAAUCAAGCUGAGGACAAGGCAUCUGGCCGCAAAACGCUCUGGCCAUAAGUGUGCCACCAAGGAGCAUGUCCACACGGGCGCCAAACACCUGGAAGAACAAUCGGCCGUUCAUCAACAGGGUGACCUGUCUCUGUCUGACAAACACCCCAGCAGGGAUGAAGAAUUGGAGAAUAGAGUAAGUGGAAUGUGACUGUUUUGGUUACAUUCUGCACGUUGAUCACAUCUGUACAGUCAGGCAGUUUUUUUGAUGGCCAAAUUCUGUUUGUAUAGAUGAAGCAACUGUGGGCAAUGUCGUCAGAUGGAGUGGACAGGGCAACCGCAAGAUUGUUGUUGGAGGGAUCUGUUGCCAUCCUGCACCUCUAUGACUUCCUUACGUUGAAGCCCAAUGAGUGGCUUAGCGGGGAGGUAUGUUAUGGUUGAAUUGUAUGAAAUUUCCAUGCGUGCAGUUGGUAUAAAGCACAAUUAGAGUUGUUGACUGUAUUGCCUGGCCAUCAUGUGAACUUUGACCAACCGUAUGCCAUUCUGCUUUAGGUAAUUGACUUCUACCUCCAACUGAAGAGGAUUAACCUUCAAGUGGAGGGGGAUGUUUUUAUUGUGGAUCACUUUGUGGCAGGGACUAUCCUGCAUGGGGAUAAGGUGGCGAUGUGCAAGAACACCUUGUCAAAGGUAAAGGCAUGUCCGCAGAGUUGCUUUUGUGUCAUGUUUCUAAAUAAGAGGCUAGAGGGGUCAAUGUAGGG